ensembl:lncRNA
GUACUGUAAGUAAAAUAUGUUAUAUAUAUGUCAUAUAUAUGUUAUAUAUAUGUUAACAGUUUUGAAUUUUUAAAAGUUCGCUCUAUUUUUAUGUUGCUUCAGCACACUUAUAGUCAAGUUUUUAUAAAAUUAAUUGCAUAUUCUAUAGUCAUGAAUUUUUGUUAGUUAACAAUGUAAAGUUAUUCUACUCUGUUCUAUCCUAUUUUAUUUUAUGCUAUUUUAUUUUAAUCAUUCUAUUCUAUUAUAUAUAUAUUUUUUUUUUUUUUUUUUUUAACUUUCUACUAUGAAAUUAAGUUAUAAACAAAAUAUAUGUUAACAAUAUAAAGUAAUGCUAUUUUUAUUUAUUUUUGUGUUUUCUACUUUUAAAUUAUAAAAAAAAUACAUUUUAACAGUGUAAAGUUACUCUAUUUUAAAUUUAUUUGCGCUCUCUAGUUUUAAAUUAUAAAAAAAAUAAAGCAUACAUGAACUAUACUUUUUCGUUUUUUUAUAUUUUUUUUUUUAACUAUUUUAUUUGCAUGACAAUAUGGAAUUAUGUGAUGAUACUUUUAUUUUACGGUGGAACAAUUUCAUAGUGAAAAAUCAAAGAUAUAACGGUUAUGGUACAAAUGUUACAGAAACGAUAAAAGAGAACCAUAAAACUAGUGUACAAUUUUCAGUUUUUAAAAUUAAAACUGCUUUUUUGUUUGUUCUAUUUUAUUUAUUAUUACAAACUGGACAUAACAAUUGGAAUGACUUUAAAGGAAUUAUUAAAAAAAAAAAAAAGUAUAUGACAUACACAAGACGGUUAACAGAAUACCACGUUGAUGAAAGGACUAACAUAGAUAUAUUAUAUGACGGUUUGAAUGACAUUGUGGGAGAACCUAGUAUGGUGAAUAAAGACAGGGCACGUAAAAAAGUAUUUAACACUUAUAGCUCUACUACACAUGCUAAUACGGGUAGACAUAUAUCUGGCACUAUUAGAAUAUCUGAAAACACAACUAAUAAGAAUGAGUGUGCGUUUAGUGGUUCUAAAAAGAAAGACUGGUAUGUAAAAGAAUCCUGUCACCAGAAGUUUGAACAAAGAGAAAAAAAUGAUAAAUAUAUAGAGGAAAACAAAAUGGAUGACUAUGAAAACGUUUUUAAAAAAUUUGCAAGAAACAUAAAAAAAGAAAAUAAAAACAAAACAAAUAUUAAAGCAAGUACUACAAGAACUACAAGCACUUCGUCAUUAGAUGAAUGUAAUAAAUCAUAUGAAACGUUUUUUAACGCUUAUGCUACGAAGAAAGAGAGAGAAGAUGAUGAACUGGCACCUAAUUAUGAGACAUCACCAACUAUUUUUCCAAACCAGAAGGAACAAAAUGUUCCUAAAAAUUAUGAAUUUUAUUUAAAUAAUAUGGAUAUGUUAUUUAAAAAUAGUACAUACAAAUUAAAAGAAAUAUUAGAAAAAUCUACUAAAGAUCUUGAUAUUUUACAAAUGAUUAUAUUAUAUAAUAUGGAGAUUAGUAUUAUGAGAUACAAUUUUCUUAAUAUGCAAAACACAUUAUUUAAAUUUUGGGACAUAUUAUCAAGUAAAUAUCAUAUAAACAGUGAUUAUAAAAAUAAACAUUUGACAAAAGUUUAUAACCAAAUAAUAAAAAAGGUAUUUUAUAAAGAAA